AAUGGAUGUGAAAUAGGAUUCUAGACUAAAUAUUACAAGUUUUCUAUAUGUUACCUUAAUUGGUUGCAUAUAGUAGCUAGUAAGUUUACCUUGAAAAAAUUAGAGUGCUCAAUGCGGGCUUAAUGCCUGAAUACUCGUGCAUGGAAUAAUAAAAUAGGAUCUUGGUUCUAUUUUGUUGGUUUUCUGAUCUAAGAUAAUGGUUAAGAGGGACGGACGGGGGCAUUCGUAUCGCUACGUGAGAGGUGAAAUUCUUGGACCGUAGCGAGACGUACAACUGCGAAAGCAUUUGCCAAGAAUGUCUUCAUUAAUCAAGAACGAAAGUCAGAGGUUCGAAGGCGAUCAGAUACCGCCCUAGUUCUGACCGUAAACGAUACCAACUAGCG
rnacentral:rRNA from 1 species